GAAACUACUGGGCCAAAUUAAUCCAAACUUGACCACAAUCAUCUUUGGGGUAUCUAGUUUAAAAAAUGUGUCCGGUGACCCAACCAUCAAAUCAAAAUGGCCGCCACGGCUAAAAAUAGAACAUAGGGGUAAAACGCAGUUUUUGGCUUAUAACUCAAAAACCAAAGCAUUUAGAGCAAAUCUGACAGGGGUUAAAUUGUUCAU
rnacentral:lncRNA from 1 species